UCGGAGUUAAAUGGAGAAGUUGGAAGCAUUAUUUGAAAAAAACGAGUUAUUGGGCAGAUGUACCUAUCGAGCACUUAAUACAUGACAAGGAUGAUAGAGUUUUGGAAGAUCAAUGGAUCAAAUGUCUUGCUUUCUGGAGAAGGGAAGAUGCAAAGAAUAUAAGUAAGAGAAACCAAAAAGCUCAAUCAAAGAAGUUAAUGAAUCAAAGAACAUGACAGCCGUUAUUUGUGCAAGUUAAAGACAUAUUGUGAGUGAGUGCAUAAAGUAAUUUUGGUCUAACAAUUGAAGAGAUUUGCAGGUUGGCAGAUACCCUCUGUUUUUCCGCUUGCUGUAUCCAUGGUAUUGGCCCUCGUCUUGUUAAAACUCGGUAGUUUCUACAAGCUAUAUGUGUUGUGGUUGCAUGUAUCCGUGUGGAACAUUGGAAGUGUGGCUUUCAUGUAAAUCUAAUCUUUCAUCUCACUGUUGAGAAGAGUUGUAGUCUGGAUG